UGUCCAACAUUUAAUAAUUUUUUUUCACUUUACAGCAAAUAAUAAUAUACAAAUUAAACCCCAUCAGAAAAAAUAAUAUAUAAAUUAAACACUUAGCCAAAUCAAAUGAUACGAACGCGUAACCCUCACCCUUGUUAGCUUUUCCUUUCUUCUUCGCGCCACUCAUCACCUCAAAUCAGAGAAGACUCCGCCAUCACCACUCACUACUCAAGGCGUCACCACUCACCACUCAAGAAGACUCUGCACUCACUCAUCUUCACCACUCACGACGCCGUCACUCGUCUUCACCGUACCGUCGCUUCUCUUCGCUGUGCACUCACAUCAGGACGACGCUGCACUCAACUGAAAGCCUCUCUUCAUUCGCUCACCAUCGUCGAGAAGGUAUGCAUCCACCUUCAUUUGGUUUCUGAAAUUUGAGAGGGUAGAGUUCCGAUUUUAGGGUUUCAAUUUGGGGGUUUGGUACAAUAAUCUGUGAACUCAUGAAUUGAUGAACUGCGGCGUAGGAGAACUCAUUCUUGUAGGUUCGUUCACCACAAACCCUAGGUCCGUUCUUCUAUUGGCUUAGCUUGCAAUUUUUUAAGCUACAUUUCGAUUCAGUUCAUACUUUUCUGUGAUCAAAUUUAUUGCCCAUUUUAUUUUUGGAUCAUUUAACGGCUUGAAAAAUGAUUAAAACUUAAAUUUGUGUCCUUUUAUUUAUUUUACUUGCUGAUUGGGGUGUUGUUACUUUGAAAAUUCAUCGACUUGAUCAAAUGAACUUAUUCAGACAUCUGGUGGCCGAUUUUGUGUUUUUUUUAUUAUAUAUUUUUUCUAAUGAAAUAUUUGAAUGUAGAUUUUUUAUGCUGAAGCAAAUUGAUGAGCUUAAGCAGUUAAAACGCACAGAGUGAAAUAGAGUUUUUCUGAAAAAUUUAAUCAUGCGAAUUUCGUAGAUUACAUAGUUAAAUUCUGAAUCUAACUUGCAUCCAUAUCUACAAUUACCGUUUCCUGAACAAUUUGGUGGAUUGAGUUUAGAAUUUUUUAACAUGCGUUGUUGACUUCUCAGGAAGUGAUUAGAUGCAUACAAGUUGGUUUCAAAAUUUGUUGGUUUUUUUUGCUUUGACUUCUUCUUCUUUUUUUCUUGCGAGAUUCGUGGUUUGGAUUUAAAUUUUGGGCUGUUGUCAGAUUUAAUUAGUAUAGAUACUAUGCGAAUUUAAAUUUUUUUAUUCCAACUAUUUGAUCAUUUGCUUGAGCUACAAUAGUCAAUAGGUUAUUGAAUUUAGAAUGCUAAGUAAUGCCAUUCAAAUAAGCUUAAUGAAUAUCUCAUAUAGUUUCUGAAUUUUGACUUCAACUCUUUAGAAUAUUUUAUCACUUGAGAAAUUAUACUAUGUUAUAGUUGGUGUUUUGAAGAAAAAACCAGAGUAUGAACUCUAUUUGGUUUAUGCAUUGCUUCAAAACUUGUUGAUUUUUCCUACUUUGGAUUUUUCUUCUUUUUUCCUCGUGAGAUUCAUGCUUUGGAUUUGAAUUUUGGGCUGUUAUCAGAUUGUUUGAGAAAUAGAUACUAUACAAAUUAAAAUUUUUUAUUCCAACUGUUUGCUUGUUCCUGAUUUGAGCUACAAUAGUCAAUAAGUUAUUGAAUUUAGAAUGCUAAGUAAUGCCAUUCAAAUAAGCUUAAUAAAUAUCUCAUAUAGUAAUUUCACCUUCUUUAAUUUCUCGUCUCUGGAUGCCAUUAUUAAUUACUUUUUCAUCUUUAUUUGGGCCUUACGCACACACAAUCCCCUGUCAUUUGUGGAAGCUGGUCUCACUAGAACUUUGUCAUCCGGGUUGAAGGAAGAGAAAAGAUGGUGUUCAAAAGACAUCAGUGGACUUGAAAGACUUAGCCGGCUCAAAGCGUAGAGCGAUUUAUGAUCUGAUCUGUACUGGAUUAGGCUCUUUAGACGCAGGUCUCAGACCAGCAACGAGGAGAGACUCCAAUGCGCUCACUCCCUUGUAAGCAUCUUGUCUCUGCGCUGACCACUUGGGGUUGGGGAAGAGUGGUUACAUGGCUCAUUCAUCUUUAGGAUUGAAGUUUUUGGUUAAAGCUUUCAAGUGGAUUUUGUCAAAACAUUGAUCGUGUCAUGGCAAGGUACAAUGCAUAUUUUUUCUUUUCACUUUAUUAUUAUGCUCUUAAUUCAUGUGUAGUUCCACUUUGAUUGUUUUAUUAGUUAUGAAAUUGCAAUUUAACUUAUUAUUUAUGUACUAUAAAUUCUUUGUUUUCCUUUUUUUUGUUUUGCUUCAGCGAGUUUCUAGUAAAAUGUUUAGAGAAUUACUUCUAAGACUAGGAACUAUUUUCUAAUCUAACUACAAGACUAUGAAAGUCCGUUUCAUAGCCCAUGCCCCUUAUAUUUCAUAACACCCUUCCUCCUCUACUCUUGUUAUCUUCACUUUGCGACCCCUUUAUAAAUUUUCCUCCAAAAAACUUUAAUAAUUAUCGAUUAGGUUUUGUGAUAUGCCAAAGGAUUGGAUGGUGUUAUUAGUUUUUUAGAGUUUGCAUACUCUGAGGGAGAACCGGACGGACAACAAAUUCAAUGUCCUUGUAAGAGGUGUUGUAACAUUGAGUGGUAUAGAAGAGAUGUGGUAUUUGACCAUUUAGUAGCCGAUGGAUUUGUUAAGGGAUAUAGAACAUGGAUUAAUCACGGGGAAUGGACAAUCCCGAUGGAGAAGAAGGUGCAUGCGAUGACAUCGAAGGACUGCUUAAUGAUGCAUUUGGAGAUCACGCUGAGGGUGUUACUGUAGGUCAAAAUAAAGAGGCUAAAGUUUUAUAAUUUAAUAGAUGGAGCAAGUCAAGAGUUAUACUCGGGCUGCAAGAAAUUUUCUACGUUAUCUUUUACUAUCUGCCUGUACUUGUUAAAGUGUUUGCACGGUUGGAGCAAUGCCUCCUUCACUUUCCUUCUUGAGCUAUUGAAAGAGGCAAUGCCUGACAUUAACAUACUUCUAUCUUUCCAUAAGACGAAGGAUAUGAUAAGAGAUUUAGGUCUGGAUUAUAAAAAAAUCGAUGCUUGUCCUAAUGAUUGCCUCCUGUAUAGGAAAGAACUAAAGGAUGAAACACAAUGUCGUGUGUGUGGAACAUCUCGAUAUACUGAAAAUUCUAGUGAUAAUAGCGAGAACCAACCUCACAAGAAAGGUCGCCCUAUUCCUGCAAAGACUUUGAGAUACUUUUCUAUAAUUUCAAGACUUCAGAGAUUAUUUAUGUGCUAAAAACGGCAGCUAGUCUGAGGUGGCAUGAUGAGGAGCGCGUUAAAGAUGGGACGUUAAAGCAUCCUGCUGAUGGCCUGGCAUGGAAGAACUUUGAUGAAAUGGAUGAAGAUUUUGCAAAAGAAUCACGCAAUAUUAGACUAGGCUUGUCAAGUGAUGGGUUCAACCCAUUUCGUAGCAUGAAUAUUUCAUGGAGCACGUGGCCCGUGAUGUUGAUGGUAUACAACUUGCCUCCGUGGAUUUGCAUGAAACCUGAAUAUUGUAUGCCUUCUUUUCUUAUUCCUAGUCCACAAUCACCUGACAAAGAUAUUGACGUGUAUCUACAACCAUUGAUAGAAGACUUGAAGUUGUUGUGGGAAAUAGGGGUGGAAACUCAUGAUGCAUCAAAGAAUGAGACCUUUCAAAUGUGGGCAGCUCUUUUGUGGACAAUCAAUGAUUUUCCUGCGUAUGCUAUGUUGUCUGAGUGGAGUACAAAGGGAAAAUCGGCUUGUCCUUGUUGCAAUAAAAAUACCUCUUCUCUACAACUAAAACAUAGUCGAAAGACAGUUUAUAUGGACCAUCGUAUCUUUUUACCCAUGGAUCAUCCAUGGAGAACCAAUACAAGGUCUUUUAAUGGGAAGCAGGAAUUAAGACCCCCUCCACCUGUUAUAGAAGGAACGGAAAUUUUUUAGAUGCUACAAAAUGUUGAGAAUGUUUUUGGGAAGAAGCAAAGUACAUCAAAUAGUUUCCCAUGGAAUUGAAAAAAAAGAUCAAUUUUCUUUGAAUUGCCUUACUGGCACAAGAACCUACUGCAUCACAACUUAGAUGUCAUGCAAAUAGAGAAGAACAUACUUGAUAGUGUAAUUGGAACUCUUUUGGAUAUCCCACGAAAGACAAACGAUCAUUUGAAUGCUCGAUAUGACUUAAAAGAUCUGGGGAUCUGGAAAAAUCUUCAACCAAAGGAGGUGAAUAAUGGCAAGAGAACAAAGCUGGCAAAGGCAUGCUUUUCUAUGACUGCUGCAGAGAAGUCAAUUUUUUUGUGGUGUUUUGAAGACAACAAAGCUACCUGAUGGUAGUGCUUCGAAUAUAUCACGGUGUGUACAUCUAGGAGAAAGAAAAUUUUCUGGGUAUAAGACCCACGAUGCUCAUUUUUUGCUAUACUAUUAUUACCAAUACUGAUUAAAAGCAUCCUUCCUGAUCACGUGGCCAUUCCGUUGAUUCGACUAAGUUCCUUUUUUCGUCGUUUAUGCAAAAAGUUCAUCACACUGGAAAAGAUAAAUCGACUAGAGUUAGAGAUUGUGGAAACAUUAUGCCACCUUGAGAGGAUCUUUCCCCCUAGUUUUUUUGACAUAAUGGUUCAUCUUCCCAUUCAUUUAGCAAAUGAAGUGAGAUUUGGUGGUCCGGUGCAGUUUCGUUGGAUGUAUCCUCCAGAAAGGUACAUGUGUACAUUAAAGUCAUAUAUACGCAACAAAACUCGCCCCGAAGGUUCUAUUGCUGAGGCAUAUCUGGCUGAAGAGUGCUUGACUUUCUGCUCACGAUACUUGCAUGGAGGUGUGCGAACAUGGCUUAAUAAGCGACCUCGGAAUGAUGAUGAUCCUAACGACGACGAAGUUUUGCCGUCAAAGUUGUUUUUUAACAAAGGUCGUUCGUUAGGUGUGGAAAAUGGAGAACCAAUUAAUCUCGAUGACAUAUCAAGUGCUCAAGCCCAUGUGUAUGUAUUACACAAUUGUGAAGAAGUCACAGAUUAUGUUAGGUAACUUAAUAUAACUUAUGUUUAUUCACUAAAUCAAGUGCAUUUAGAUUUUUUCCGAUCAAACAUAACUAUUAUUAACUACAGAGAGCAUGAGGAUGAGGUUAACAAUCAGCAGGGAAUGAAAUGGAGAAAAGCAAAAGUUCACAGUAAAACCUUCUCGCAGUGGUUUAAAACUCGGGCGAGGGAUCCAAAUGUGCCUAUUUGGCUAAAAGAAUUAUCCCGAGAGGAUAUAGGUUUCACACUGUGGAGCGUGAGGCAAGGAGAAAAACACAAAAUAGUGGUGUCACAUUAACUGCUUUAACUUCAAGCUUUGUAAGUGCUAAAGAUAAAAGUCCAAUUGAAGAAACUGUAGCGUUUUAAGGUUGUAUUGUUUCGGUGUGAGUGGUAUGAUGCUGGGAGAGACAAGUAUGAUCUUACAUUUGUUCACUUCAAUAAGAAAUGCUACCAGAAUAAACCUUUCAUACUAGCAUCUCAAGCACAUAAAUGUUUUUAUGUGCAAGAUUCAUAUGAACAUAACGUUAUGUUAUGGAAACUAUCCCAAGAGACUUAUUCAAAACAAAUAGCGAAUCUGAGUCUGAGGCCUGUCAAACCUUCUAUAGUGAACAACAUGAGCAUAUAACGAGCCCUACCAUACCAGCUGAUGAUGGUAAACUUAUUCUGGAGAGGAAUGAUCUACGACCUACAGUUAUUGAAACGGUUCUCCAAGUGACUUCUGCCCAAGAAUAUGAGGUAGAUUUCAUUGGAGAUUUUGAUUCCGAUGGGUCAGCCUAAGCAAUUUAUUGCUUAAUAUAUUUGUAAGUCAUAUUUUUGUUUUAAUUUCUCAUUUUGUUAGUGUUUCUUAUAAGAUUUUUCACUUUAUUGCUUAUAUUAACUCGAGUUAACUAAUUUAUUUGCGUAGGAAUAAAGAUUUUAUUGAUCUUAAAGUAACAUCAAGUAAGAAUUUGCUUCGACAAUUUGAAGCCAAGAGACAAAAGAUUGUAAAUGAACGCAAGCAAUAUGAGAUGCAAGGUGCAGCACGUAAUGACAAGGAGGAAAUUAUGCCAAGGUUGUAUGUAGUUGAAAGUCAAAAAGAGUUGAGUGCAACCAAAGGAGUGAAGAAAUCUACGUCAAAGAAGCUGGAUUUUACUCAUUUACAAAGCACACUCAAUACAAUCAACAAAAGGAUGAAUUUCACGCCUGAAACCUUGAAAGUACAGCCAAGCAUUCUGACGCAACAGCCAGAAAAUAAAAAAAAAAGAAGAAUCACUUGACUGUGGCUAUAACUGAGAAAAAGAAGCAUGAAGUGCAACAUGAACUGUCAACACACGGCUUGAACAAUUCUAAGCUUACAAAGGUGGGUGCAGAUGAACUUAAAAGGAAGCUCGAUGCAAUUCGUAAUAUGAAUAAUAGCGUGCCAACAAGUGUAAGCCAAGAGCAGAGUUGUGCAAAUUCUAUUCAGCCCACAAUCAACCAAGGGCAGCAGCAGAUUAUUCAAGUCACACAUGGUAGGACUAAAAAAAGGCAACAUGACACUACUUUGCCGAGUUCAAACACUACCCCACAAGCUGAAGAUUUAAUGUCGGAGCAAGAUGGAUCAAGAAAGGAAAAGAGCAAGCCAAUGGUAUGGGCUAUAACUAUUGAUGAAUUCUUAAAAGAAAAUGGGAUAGAUGUAGAAAUUGGCGGACUAAGCUCUGAACUAAGUGAUGAUGUGGGAGAUAGUUUGCCACUUGAUGAAAAUUAUUAUUCACAUGUGAUGGAGGACAUUGAUGAUGACGAAAGUAAUAUAUUUCUAUCAUUUUUUAUAUUUUUUUUGUAAAUCAUAAACUUUAAUUUUUCAAUUGGCAUCACUAAUUACUUCCUAAUUUUUCCCCUAAUGCAUGAAACUAGGAGAGCCAAAGAAGAAGAAAACUCGGGAAAAAAUAACUUGCAAAGAGAUUUAUUAAAGAACUAUGGAAUAGCGGGAAGUUAUUUUUAAUAUUGGACAGCCAGUAGGACCCACUGAUCAAAGUGUGUCUAAUUUAACUAGUUUCGUAGGUACAAUUGGUAGAAAUAAAAGAUUUGUUAGUCUUUUAUACACUAGCUGGCACGCUGUAACUCCUAAAGCUAAGAAAUUUAUGUGAAACUAUGUUAACAUAAGACUCUUCUAUUAUUAUUGAAUGUCGAUUUUUUUAAAUAUAAGAUAGUAGAGAAAAGUGGGUGAUCCGGAUGCUUGGAAGUGGUUCAAGGGAAAGAUUAAGCAGAAUCACUUUGAUCAUUUUGAUACUAUCGAAGAUAUGGUGAAAAAUCGACCGACACAAGUUCCAGAAAGUCAAUUCAUAAAAUUGAUCUAUUAUUGGAGUCAUCCUACAAUCCAGGUAAAAUAGUUGGUACUUUAAUUGCAAAUAUAUUACUGUUUGUUGAGACAUAAGAAAAAUAAUGAAAAUUCAAUUGAUGUUUCUCAUGUCGUACAAACACAUAUCCAUUCUGAUGUAGGUUCUUGAACUGAAUUGAAUUUUCUUAGGAUAUAUUGCUGCCAGUUCCAUUCUGAACUUUUGAAUUUGUGUUUUUACAGUUCUAUUUUUGGCUACUUUGCUAUAAUUUUUAUGUUGCUGCAAUUCUAUUUUCUGUAGUUCUGUUUUGUGCAAUUUUGUUUUCUACAAUUCUAUUUUGUGCAAUUAUAUCUACUACUAUUCUGGUUGUUGUAAUUUUGUUUGCUAAAGCAAAAUUUAAUUUUAUUGUUCUCUGUUUCUAUGUGCUAACUUUUUAUUCAAUUAUAGUCAAUAAGUGAAGAAAACAAGAAACAUAAAGAACAGCAAAAGUUUCCACAUCGCAUGGGGCCAAUCAAUUUCGGAAGAGUACGAGUGGCUCUGCGCGCGACAGAGGAAACAAAGAGGUUUGAAAUGUUCAUUGCUACUCGAACAAGUCGGAAAAGGAAGUUUAUCAGGAACACAAGAUGCAAUUGUAUGAGUCUAUUAAAUUAUUAAUGAUUAUAAAUCAAAUUUAGGAAUGGUAACUAAUUCCAUUUUAAAUAAAUGUUUCUUCUAAUUAGGAAGACUUCCAAAACUGGCAAGCUGCUGGUGAAACAGAUGUGGAAGCUUUCGAGUCUUUAUUUGGAAAAGAACAACCAGGUCGGGUUAAGUGCUAUGGAAGAUCUGUUACGCGAUGUGACUUAAAAAAGCAUGCAAAAAUUUUUGAACUCAAGCAACAGCACCAAGAGGAAGUCACAUCUUUGAAGGCUGAACUUGGAGACAUGAAGGCCAAACAGCAGCGCCAAGAGGCUGACCUUCAUGGAUUGUGAAACAUGAUUAAGUUAACGUUUCAAGUUCAGAUUGCUGAACUAGUAACUUAAUCAUGUUUCGCAAUCCAUGAAGGUCAGCCUCUUGGCGCUACUGUUUGGCCUUCAUGUCUCCAAGUUCAGCCUUCGAAGAUUUGACUUCCUCUUGGUGCUGUUGCUUGAGUUCAGAAAUUUCU